UUGUGUUUUUUUUUUUUUUUUUUUUUUUUUGGCACAAACUGAUCAAGCAUUUUUCAUUCAAUCACCAUGAAAGUUGAAGCCAACAAAGCAGUGACACACACACACACAAGACAGAUCAGUAGCCAUCAAAUUACAGCAGCAAAUGAAACCCUACAGAAAGGAUUUUGAGGAACCCUUUGCUGUUUUAUUAAUUUACAGAAAGCACAAUUAUAUAUGCAUACAUGGAGUACUGACCACCUGGUUUACUAUAGGCCACAAUAACUACUUUGUUGGAGCCAUGCCCAAGUUUUCUCAUUUGCAAUUGCAUGGAUCGCAGGUGCAGUUUGAUCCGCACUUGCAGCCAUUCUCA